rnacentral:rRNA from 1 species
GAUGAACGCUGGCGGCGUGCCUAAUACAUGCAAGUCGAGCGAACGGACGAGAAGCUUGCUUCUCUGAUGUUAGCGGCGGACGGGUGAGUAACACGUGGAUAACCUACCUAUAAGACUGGGAUAACUUCGGGAAACCGGAGCUAAUACCGGAUGAUAUUUUGAACCGCAUGGUUCAAAAGUGAAAGACGGUCUUGCUGUCACUUAUAGAUGGAUCCGCGCUGCAUUAGCUAGUUGGUAAGGUAACGGCUUACCAAGGCAACGAUGCAUAGCCGACCUGAGAGGGUGAGCGGCCACACUGGAACUGAGACACGGUCCAGACUCCUACGGGAGGCAGCAGUAGGGAAUCGUCCGCAAUGGGCGAAAGCCUGACGGAGCAACGCCGCGUGAGUGAUGAAGGUCUUCGGAUCGUAAAACUCUGUUAUUAGGGAAGAACAUAUGUGUAAGUAACUGUGCACAUCUUGACGGUACCUAAUCAGAAAGCCACGGCUAACUACGUG